GGACUACAGGGGUUUCUAAUCCCGAUCGAUACCCAUGCCUUCGUACCUCAACGUCAGUUUUCAAUAGUAACAUGCCUUCGCCGCUUCGCAACCCCUCGAGUAUUUACGUAUUGUUACACUCCACUCGUUCUAUUUGUUACUCCUUUUAACUCUAGUAUAAUAAUAUCUAAUCCACUUCUAAGGUGUAUUUUAAAUAUAGAUUUAAUUAUACCGUCUACGUACCCUUUAGACCCAUUUAAUGUGAGUAACGCUUGCCUCGCACGUAUUACCGCGGCUGCUGGCAC
rnacentral:rRNA from 1 species